rnacentral:rRNA from 1 species
AGAGUUGCGCACGGGUGAGUAACGCGUGGGAAUCUGCCCAUUAGUACGGAAUAACCAAGGGAAACUCUGGCUAAUACCGUAUACGCCCUUCGGGGGAAAGAUUUAUCGCUAAUGGAUGAGCCCGCGUAAGAUUAGGUAGUUGGUGGGGUAAAGGCCUACCAAGCCUACGAUCUUUAGCUGGUCUGAGAGGACGACCAGCCACACUGGAACUGAGACACGGUCCAGACUCCUACGGGAGGCAGCAGUGGGGAAUAUUGGACAAUGGGGGAAACCCUGAUCCAGCCAUGCCGCGUGAGUGAUGAAGGCCUUAGGGUUGUAAAGCUCUUUUACCAGGGAAGAUAAUGACGGUACCUGGAGAAUAAGUUCCGGCUAACUUCGUGCCAGCAGCCGCGGUAAUACGAAGGGAACUAGCGUUGUUCGGAAUCACUGGGCGUAAAGCGGGCGCAGGCGGACUGUCAAGUCAGAGGUGAAAUCCCAAGGCUCAACCUUGGAAUUGCCUUUGAAACUGACAGUCUGGAGUGUGUGAGGGGGUAGCGGAAUUCCAAAUGUAGAGGUGAAAUUCGUAGAUAUUUGGAGGAACACCGGUGGCGAAGGCGGCUACCUGGCACACAACUGACGCUGAGGCCCGAAAGCGUGGGGAUCAAACAGGAUUAGAUACCCUGGUAGUCCACGCCCUAAACGAUGAGUGCUAGCUGUUGGUCCUUUAAGGAUCAGAGGAGUAGAAAAAGCAAAAAACAAUAAACAAGAAGAAAAAAAAAAAAA